rnacentral:rRNA from 1 species
AUUGAACGCUGGCGGCAGGCCUAACACAUGCAAGUCGAGCGGAUGAAGGGAGCUUGCUCCUGGAUUCAGCGGCGGACGGGUGAGUAAUGCCUAGGAAUCUGCCUGGUAGUGGGGGAUAACGUCCGGAAACGGGCGCUAAUACCGCAUACGUCCUGAGGGAGAAAGUGGGGGAUCUUCGGACCUCACGCUAUCAGCUGAGCCUAGGUCGGAUUAGCUAGUUGGUGGGGUAAAGGACUACCAAGGCGACGAUCCGUAACUGGUCUGAGAGGAUGAUCAGUCACACUAGAACUGAGACACGGUCCAGACUCCUACGGGAGGCAGCAGUGGGGAAUAUUGGACUAUGGGCGGAAGCCUGAUCCAGCCAUGCCGCGUGUGUUAAGAAGGUCUUCGGAUUGUAAAGCACUUUAAGUUGGGAGGAAGGGCAGUAAGUUAAUACCUUGCUGUUUUGACGUUACCAACAGAAUAAGCACCGGCUAACUUCGUG